AUCGCUUCUCGGCCUUUUGGCUAAGAUCAAGUGUAGUAUCUGUUCUUAUCAGUUUAAAAUAGAGAAGCAACACUUUUUAAUGUUGCUAGCUUUAAAAUUUUUUACUAAAU
rnacentral:snRNA from 1 species